rnacentral:rRNA from 1 species
AACGAACGCUGGCGGCAUGCCUAACACAUGCAAGUCGAACGAUACCUGCCGGCCUGGUGGCGAAGGGGUGCGUAACGCGGGGGAACCUACCCGUAGGUUCGGAAUAACUCGCCGAAAGGGGUGCUAAGACCGGCUAAUGUCUCAUGACCAAAGAUUUAUCGCCCUGGGAUGGGCCCGCGUUGGCUUGGCUGGUUGGUAGGGUGAAAGCCUACGAAGGCGACGAGGCAUAGCUGGUCUGAGAGGAUGAUCAGCCACACUUGGACUGGGACACGGCCCAGACUCCUACGGGAGGCAGCAGUGGGGAAUAUUGGACAAUGGGCGACAGCCUGAUCCAGCAAUGCCGCGUGAGUGAUGAAGGACUUAGGGUUGUAACGCUCUUUUACCCGGGAUGCUAAUGACAGUACCGUAAGAAUAAGCUCCGGCUAACUCCGUG